rnacentral:rRNA from 1 species
AACGCUAGCUACAGGCUUAACACAUGCAAGUCGAGGGGCGUCAGGAAGAAAGCUUGCUUUCUUUGCUGGCGACCGGCGCACGGGUGAGUAACACGUAUCCAACCUGCCCUUUACUCGGGGAUAGCCUUUCGAAAGAAAGAUUAAUACCCGAUGGCAUAAUGAUUCCGCAUGGUUUCAUUAUUAAAGGAUUCCGGUAAAGGAUGGGGAUGCGUUCCAUUAGGUUGUUGGUGAGGUAACGGCUCACCAAGCCUUCGAUGGAUAGGGGUUCUGAGAGGAAGGUCCCCCACAUUGGAACUGAGACACGGUCCAAACUCCUACGGGAGGCAGCAGUGAGGAAUAUUGGUCAAUGGGCGCUAGCCUGAACCAGCCAAGUAGCGUGAAGGAUGAAGGCUCUAUGGGUCGUAAACUUCUUUUAUAUAAGAAUAAAGUGCAGUAUGUAUACUGUUUUGUAUGUAUUAUAUGAAUAAGGAUCGGCUAACUCCGUGCCAGCAGCCGCGGUAAUACGGAGGAUCCGAGCGUUAUCCGGAUUUAUUGGGUUUAAAGGGAGCGUAGGUGGACUGGUAAGUCAGUUGUGAAAGUUUGCGGCUCAACCGUAAAAUUGCAGUUGAUACUGUCAGUCUUGAGUACAGUAGAGGUGGGCGGAAUUCGUGGUGUAGCGGUGAAAUGCUUAGAUAUCACGAAGAACUCCGAUUGCGAAGGCAGCUCACUGGACUGCAACUGACACUGAUGCUCGAAAGUGUGGGUAUCAAACAGGAUUAGAUACCCUGGUAGUCCACACAGUAAACGAUGAAUACUCGCUGUUUGCGAUAUACAGUAAGCGGCCAAGCGAAAGCAUUAAGUAUUCCACCUGGGGAGUACGCCGGCAACGGUGAAACUCAAAGGAAUUGACGGGGGCCCGCACAAGCGGAGGAACAUGUGGUUUAAUUCGAUGAUACGCGAGGAACCUUACCCGGGCUUAAAUUGCAGUGGAAUGAUGUGGAAACAUGUCAGUGAGCAAUCACCGCUGUGAAGGUGCUGCAUGGUUGUCGUCAGCUCGUGCCGUGAGGUGUCGGCUUAAGUGCCAUAACGAGCGCAACCCUUAUCUUUAGUUACUAACAGGUUAUGCUGAGGACUCUAGAGAGACUGCCGUCGUAAGAUGUGAGGAAGGUGGGGAUGACGUCAAAUCAGCACGGCCCUUACGUCCGGGGCUACACACGUGUUACAAUGGGGGGUACAGAAGGCAGCUAGCGGGUGACCGUAUGCUAAUCCCAAAAGCCUCUCUCAGUUCGGAUCGAAGUCUGCAACCCGACUUCGUGAAGCUGGAUUCGCUAGUAAUCGCGCAUCAGCCACGGCGCGGUGAAUACGUUCCCGGGCCUUGUACGCACCGCCCGUCAAGCCAUGGGAGCCGGGGGUACCUGAAGUACGUAACCGCAAGGAUCGUCCUAGGGUAAAACUGGUGACUGGGGCUAAGU